rnacentral:lncRNA from 10 species
AGGGAAGAGAGAAGCCCCUCCCAUUCGCUUCUACUGGGGCUUGUUAGGCCAUCGCCUUGGGGGCCGGCUGAUCAGCGGCAGCCAGCAGCCGGCGGCUUCGGCAGGCAGGAACAAGGACAGCCUGUGGCUACUGCAGCCCCACUGCCCGGCCAUGCUUCAUGAUGGGGGAGAGUGCCUUGGGAGGAAUAUACAGGCAAAUCAUGUUAGCAUCACAGAGCCCACUUAAUUCCGUAUGGGUUGGUAUUUGGGGAAGAAAUCGAGGACGAAUUGGUGUUGGACCCAAAGCUGGGCAGGGACCAGUGUGCAUGGCAAGGUUUUAAUGCCAGUAAGUUUUUCAGGGUGAUUUUUUUUCUGUCCCUGAGUCAGUGGAAUAGAAUGGAAAUGCCAUGUCUAGCUACUUUAGGGAGCACAGUGUGAAGAAGACAGCCUCCUCUAAGCUAGCACUGUUUGUGUAAUAUGUGGUCCUUAGACAUUAAAAUGAAGCCCUUUGUCACCAACUGUAGAGCCCCCCAAAACACCCUCAUUUGGUGUUUUUGUUCCAUUUUAAACCAUGAAUGGCAUCCGCUCCCUCCAGUACUGAUGUGAGGUUUUUCUGUGUUGGAUCAAAACCAAAUGCUGUUUUAUGUCAACGUAAGGAAGGAAACUAGCAAAUGCAUGAGGUCAAUCUCCAUGGCACACUUCCACCCCAGGGGCUGUACGAGAGGAAAAAAAUGUGCUUCAUGUCCCAACCAAAAGCAUUCUCUGUCUGAGGACUGUUGCCCAAGUGUGAAGUAGGAGACUCGUGCAAUUCAAAGGCACCUAUGUGAUGCCCAUGUGGAGCCCUUUUCUUAGCCAGGCACGACAGGUAUGGAGCCGGCUCUGGGAAGUGGGAUCUAGAAUGACAACCCUUGGCACAGGGCUAAGGAGCUUUAGGAGUGAUGAAAUCUCAUUGUACCACUGCAAACAGAAGCUGCAUCCCUGCCUGGGAAGGAUUAGGUCGCCUCCUAGGCAGGAGCAAACAUUUGGUGGAAAGGACUAGGAGGUUGGCUGCUUGCUCUUCUCUUUCAGCAGUGACAUCUCCACCCUGCCUGUCCCACCUCUCCAGAAAGGACUCCCAGAGGCCUAUGGACUGGAGCUAUUAACAUCCUGCAGAUGGGAGCCACUCUCUCACUGUGAUCACCAAGUAAUUUUCAUCGACUGUGGAGCAGCCUGCUGGGACCCUGCCAGCUGAUCUUAACAAGCCCACUUACUGCAGGAUUCCCACUGCUUUCCUGGGCUAGGAAUUCCUUAACCAAAGGUGGGGAGUGGUGUGAGGCCUUGGUCCAUUUCAUUGCUGACAUUAGCCCUGCACCAGCGGGAGAACGUUUCUUCCUUUAAUCACCCCAAGAUUAGCCUGCAGUUGCCUCUUUCUGUUGGAUAUUUGAAUAACAAGCUUGAUGAGGCCACUUAACUCCCUCCAAUUACAGGUGCCAAAUGGGGGUACAAAAAAGAGAGGCCUUUUACAUGUGUGAAUGAUUUCACAGUCCAGUGUCAUAAUCAGAUUCUAGAAAUUGAACUUGCAGAAAGUUUGUGCUAGCCUUGUGGAUUUUCAUUUCAGAUGUUGUCAACUCAAGGGCAUUUGGACCAAUCAAUAUCUGUCUGUCUUCUCACACAUAGAAAGUUGGCUAUUAGAAAAGAGAGGCUUACAGCAGGGCUCAGCCAAUACCAUUAGCCCUAGCCUAAGGGCAGUUCUGUCCAUGUGCCCGGGUAGGCACCUGCCCCCUCCCCUCCCCCACCAUUAGGGAGGCCACUUGGGAUGUCAUUUGGACAGAGUGGGCAAAGAGCACUUCUUUAUUCUCUCUCUUUUUUACACCCAGACUCCCCCAAAAUCAAUAAAUCUGUUCUUUGCUUAUUUUCAGAACUUUACUUCAAUAUAAGCAAGGACUUUCCUUCCAGCAACAAGCUCAAGUAACACCAUGUCAGGCUUAUGUGUGUGUGUGUUUUCUUUCUCUGUUCCAAUUUGAAAAAUAAUUGGAAAUAAUAUCUGAUUGAUGUUCUCUCUCUCUCUCUCUCUCUCUUUAGCUAAAGAUUUCCUAGAUGAAAGACCUUGAUCCACUGCCUUUCAUGAUUCAGCACUGGAUUUUCUGUUCCAUGCAGCCUUCUAUUGGAAUAAUUUUGUGAAAUGAAGGCAACAAAGUAUUGUUUUCUUAAUCAAAGAGAACUUCAUAAAAAUUGUGCUCCUUGACUGCUAAUUUGUCCUGCAUUGUUACCGAUGCUUUUCUUAUGAUUUUUGUUUUGCACUGAACAGCCCCCUGGCUGAGAGAAAACCCCGAAGCAGUUAAGAUACCAGGAAAGGAAGACUUGAAAAUUGGUUAGUGAAGAUUCUGAGUAUUUCCUGGUGCGUCUGGGAAUUUUGUUUGUUUUUUGUGGUGAUAUUUCUUUCUCUCUGUAUGUCUCUGUCUCUCUGUCUCUAUCUGCAUCUCUGCCCUUGUUAGAAGGGACUAAUUAGAAUGGCACAAACACGUUAGAAUUGGAGAUCAUUGUUGCAAAGGCCCUUAGGAAGAGGGGGGCAGUUUUGGUCCAUUCUGAAGGCUAUCAAGGCGGUUUCCAGCUUGCUCUUGGCACGAAAAGGAAUAACCAGGGCCAUUUUAAUGCCAUGGGCAGGGAAAGCAUGAUGCAAAGCUUUUGGAGGGGCCACCGGGUAACAACAGGAGAGCACCAGAACUCACGGAGAGAGCAGAGGUUGAGGAAGCCUGGCGCCCCAGCGACAAAGCAGUGUCCCCGACAAAAGAAAGAUUCAAUCUUGGAAACAGAAACAUGAAGUGAAUGUUUAAUACCAUGGUCCAAGAAGAUGGCAUUUUCUGUGACUGGAACAAUGCAGAAUUAAUGUGUAUCUGCAAGAAAUAUCAUUAAGAUUAAGUAUUCUUCAGAGAGAUUGGAGAAUCGGGGAAUUCAAGUGCGUUUGUUGGCUUGAGCCAGCCCUCCGCUACCUGACCCAUCUGCAGGCAGAAAGGGCAUCCACCAAGUGAGUCUUUCUCAGUAGAGGAGGCAGUGUGCUGUUAUAUGCUGAUGCAGCUCCUUGUCUUGGACUCAUAACUGACAGAACAGCAUGUGGACCUCACCGCUCCUUGGACUUCGAGUGGCGCUACUCUAACGCUGAGUCCUGACCUGGAUCCCUGUUUGCUUGCCUAGACCUAAGGCGGUGGUGCAGACCUUCCCCCACCCCACAUACCAUCGCCUUCUGGAAUGUGGCUUUGUGGAACUGAGGCUGAGACAAUCACAGUGCCCCAUUCUUCUGGUCAUGUGACAGGUCUGGACCUGGUCAUGUGGCAAAGUCGAAUCUAAGUCACAUCAAAGCAGGGAGAGUUAAAGCAAAUCUUUUCUCUCUUGUUGUGGAGCUGGAAUAUGAGCCCAGAAGCUUCCAGAACACAUGGUCCUGCCCUCAUAAAGAAGCUCAAGUGAGGGAACAAAAUCGACUUAGGUAGCAGCGAGCAUGGAUGGGGCCUGGCUACAUCAAGUUCUCAGAUCCUGUUGUCCCCACCCACCCCCUGUAACUUGCCAAUUUUAUCCAUCAAGCAUCCUCUCCUCUCUCCCAACUUGUCUGAGUUCUGUUUCUGUCAUUGUCACCAAGAGAGCUUUGAUGAGUAAGAAAUCCCAACAUUCCACGGGAGUCUUGGUGGUUUAAAUUUUUAAGUGAGUCCUCACUUGUUAAAGUCUUAUUCCUGUUAGAGGGCACUUCCAUAGUCCAGAAGGUGGGGAAUUCCUAUAGGUGACCUGUGGUCUCUCUAAGCAAUUUGACCAGGACUAUUUAAUAAAAUAUUUUAAAAAUGGUUCCUUUUAAUUAUUCAUUUUCAAAUGUAUAUUUGUUCUUGGCAAACAAGAGAUGAUUUGCGUUAAUCAGUGAUCUUUAAGCAAAUUCCUUGCAAUACUUUAUCUCCAUAUAAACUCGAAGCUUCUUAAAUGAAAUAGUACCUGUGUAUUUCAUAUGGCUUCCUCUUUUAUAAAUAAAAUGAAUGGACUUGGGACCAAAACAGAAUUUUUUUUUUCGGGAACUAUAGGACUGGAAUCUUUUUAUCCAAGGCAGUUGGAUCCCACAGUACAUUUUCACUGUAACAGACAAUGAGGUUGAGUCAAUAAAUAAAUAAAUAAAGUCACCAACAUGUCCAAAAGCCUCCAUUUAAAACUCAAAGCCAGUGGUUUUGGGUUUCACCUUUUCCUUUAAAAUUAAAUUCCCUGAAACCAUAUUUUAAAAAUGCUAUCUGAAUGGGAACCGCCAAACUGGGAAACUUUAAGUUUAAAAAUAGAACUGCAUCUGAAUUAUCUUAUAGAAAUUUGUCUUCUAACCAGCCAUCAGUAACUGUAAGCAUGCUUCAUAGAUCUACAUAUUUCAGCACUUUUUACAUUCUGAAAGAAUCUUGCUUAGAUACGAAGGUUAACUGGACACCUUUUUCUGCAUUCACCUUUAAUACUGGAUGCCCCCUUUAUCUGCACUCCCAAGCUGGGAAGCCCCAGAGUGGGCUCUUGGCCCCUUGCGGCCAACUGAAGUUCUCCAUCUCUGCAGCCUCCGUGAUCACCUUAAGAAUAGGCUCGCGACCUCCUUUGGGCCACACAGAGUCCUUCUCAGGGCUUGCGCUGGAGCUCUCAGGAGGGAUGCUCGCUUUCUCACUGAUCAGGAACUCUAAGGACCAAAGCCUGGAGUGAGGAUGUGAUCUGCUUGCAAGCGAAGGAGGCAGGAGGCAGCCGGACUCGAGGGCACACAUGACCUGGCAGGGCUGAACCUCAGGCUCCGGUGAGGCUGGCUCCUGACUGCCCCUCUGGACUUUCUCAGUUAUUUCAGGCCAUGGAUUAUCUUUAGUGCUUAAGCUAGUUUGAGUUGUGUUUCUGCCACUCAUAAUUCAGAGAAUCCUGGUGGCUUCAGUGUGAUCAGGAAGACAUUGGGAGCCAUUUUAGUUUUUACUUAACUUUUCCAAACUUGCUAGACAGGCUGAUUAUGGGUCUGUGCUAGUCUGGGAACCUGUGUUUGCUCUCUUAAGCCAUGGGUCUUAGACUCAUUUCCUGUUGCAAACAGGAUGCACUGCACAUUUUUACUGUGUUUUUGCUGCCCAUAAGUGGGAGGCAGAUUCGAAUGAUAGAAUUGGAAAGGUUCCAAAAGCACCAGCCAUGGUAGGGACCCUGAAGAUUGCAAGAUAAACAAAAGCAUUCAGAACUUGUGAUGGGAGUGUGAGAGGAUUGAGCGUUGAAGUCAGCCUAACAGAGGCUGUCGUUUACCCGGUGAAAUCCUCAAGUUACAAACAGCUGCUGUGCAAUUGGAAGUCACAGUCUUCAGUUAGGCUUGAUUUGUCAUUUGGUUUAUAAAUAAGCUUUCAUUUUGUCUUUUUUUUUUUUUUUUUUUGGUCUGGCAAUGUGGUAUCUCUUCCUUGCAGGAUUUGGGAAGCUGGGAAUAUGUGUGACCCACACUACCUGAGGGUGAUAGACUUUGACAGUGUCUCCAGCAUUUUCAUGUUGAAAUCUGCUUUAUCCUAAUUUCCAGUCUUGGUCUUGUCUGUCACAGGCUGGGGAGAAGAGCACCGUCCAGAGAAGGACCCAAUAAGGGACAUUUCCACCUUGCUUAGUGGGUUGAGGGCUGGGCUUUGGGUUUGAGAUGUGAAGAGAAAGAAGCUACGUGGAAGAGAAAGGAUGGAGGUACAAGGACGCCCUCCAGCCGGCUACACUUCUGAAACUAAAACAUACAAAACUCAGUGGCUUUUCCUCAACUCCUAUGAUGGAUGUGCAAGGACGCCCUCCAGCUGGCUGCAUUUCUGAUGCUAAAAAUACAAAACUCAGCAGCUUUGCCCAUACUCCUAUGAUGCCUG